UGAGGAGACAUCUUGUCCCGUUUUGUCUUUUGUAAAAUCAGAAUGAUAUCUACGUCCUGGUUUGCAGGCAGCUGAGGAAUGCAGCCCAGCUCGGAUGGCAGGAAGCCAUGGGAGGAACACCCCGCACCAGAGGCCUGGUAUUGACCGGUCUUGAACACUCACACCAACAGCUCGUGUGUGCACGCUGCCCAUGAAGACAUCAGAUUUGGGGACCAAGUUAGUGCAUCAGCAUCAGCCGUUCCACACCACACCACCGUGAAAACCAAAUCAGCGGGCGCCUGCUGGAAAAUUGAUGCGUGAUGCCCAAGAAGCCUCUUGCUCCGGAUGCUAAAGAGAUGCCCAUUACUGGCACCUUCCUUGGCUGUCUCAGAAUUGCUCGAGGGCCCUGUCGCUUUGUGAGCUGCACCAGUAAUGAGCUGUUAAGCCUCACCUACCUCGGCCAAUUGCACUGUCCUCUCCGGACUCACUUCAGUGUCUAGAGUCGGAGAUUCCCAAGCAAGACAGUAACCUCAAGAGCUCAUCGAGCCCAUUCUCCAGCCUCUGGGCCGACCAGACCCCUGCCCAGUGUUUAAGAAGAAAGCACAUCCGUUAUCCUUUCAACCCUCAUAAGCCCCCCAGCGAAGGAGCUCUUAGCAAGUGAGGAACGGAAUCUGACCCAGGAAGUCUGGACUGCCAGUGUGAGUGGCUUCCCAGGGCUGAGUGUCAGGGGCUCAGGGGCCGGGCGGGCAGCCCUGGGUUCCGGUCCCAGCUUGUCCUCUGCCCGGCAGGAAAGACUGUUCCUUUAGAAUCGCCCAUCUGGAAAGGGUUUCGGGAGCCGUGGCAAUGCAGGAACAGAACCGUUUCUCCUUUGAGUGUAGCAGGAUUCUUCGGUGGUAGCGUCCCCUCGCGGUGCUGGAGGGUCCCCGAAAACAAGGACUGUUUUAGCGUCCCCCCCCCCCCCCCCCGCCCCAGCCCAGCCCAAGAAGCUCCGAGAACCUGGCUCUCACUGCAAGGGAAAGUGUUUUAUAAAGUGCUGCUCCCCACACAACAACGACUUGACAUCUGUGCCCACAUCGUCCGUGCCCACCGUGUUCCACCCCCCGCCGGGGACCUCACUGCACAGACCUGUGCCCUCCCAUAAAGGAGCCGCUCGCCAUGGCGGCUAUUUUCAUUUCAGUUCAUUCACAGGAAACAAAAUGUAAACUUCAGUUCCCCGGCUGCUCACCCUCCGAGGACGGGACAUGUCCAUCGCUGUGGA